AUUGAACGCUGGCGGCAUGCUUUACACAUGCAAGUCGGACGGCAGCACAGAGAAGCUUGCUUCUUGGGUGGCGAGUGGCGAACGGGUGAGUAACAUAUCGGAACGUACCGAGCAGUGGGGGAUAACUAAUCGAAAGAUUAGCUAAUACCGCAUAUCUUCUGAGGAAGAAAGCAGGGGACCAUUUGGCCUUGCGCUGUUUGAGCGGCCGAUAUCUGAUUAGCUAGUUGGUGGGGUAAAGGCCUACCAAGGCGACGAUCAGUAGCGGGUCUGAGAGGAUGAUCCGCCACACUGGGACUGAGACACGGCCCAGACUCCUACGGGAGGCAGCAGUGGGGAAUUUUGGACAAUGGGCGCAAGCCUGAUCCAGCCAUGCCGCGUGUCUGAAGAAGGCCUUCGGGUUGUAAAGGACUUUUGUCAGGGAAGAAAAGGGCGGGGUUAAUACCCCUGUCUGAUGACGGUACCUGAAGAAUAAGCACCGGCUAACUACGUGCCAGCCGCCGCGGUAAAAC
rnacentral:rRNA from 1 species